rnacentral:rRNA from 1 species
GAUGAACGCUAGCGGCAGGCCUAAUACAUGCAAGUCGAACGGUGUCUUCGGACAUAGUGGCGCACGGGUGCGUAACACGUAUGCAACCUACCUUACAUUGGGGGAUAGCCUUUCGAAAGGGAGAUUAAUACCGCAUAAGACAGUAACUAGGCAUCUAGUAGCUGUUAAAGAUUUAUCGAUGUAAGCUGGGCAUGCGUCCAAUUAGCUAGUUGGUGAGGUAACGGCUCACCAAGGCAAUGAUUGGUAGGGGAACUGAGAGGUCAAUCCCCCACACUGGAACUGAGAUACGGGCCAGACUCCUCCGGGAGGCAGCAGUAGGGAAUAUUGGGCAAUGGACGCAAGUCUGACCCAGCCAUGCCGCGUGCAGGAUGAAGGCGUUAUGCGUUGUAAACUGCUUUUAUACAGGAAGAAACGACUCUUGCGAGAGGCAUUGACGGUACUGUAUGAAUAAGCACCGGCUAACUCCGUGCCAGCCGCCGCGGUAAUAC